UACAUGCAAGUUGAGCGCUGAAGGUUGGUACUUGUACCGACUGGAUGAGCAGCGAACGGGUGAGUAACGCGUGGGGAAUCUGCCUUUGAGCGGGGGACAACAUUUGGAAACGAAUGCUAAUACCGCAUAAAAACUUUAAACACAAGUUUUAAGUUUGAAAGAUGCAAUUGCAUCACUCAAAGAUGAUCCCGCGUUGUAUUAGCUAGUUGGUGAGGUAAAGGCUCACCAAGGCGAUGAUACAUAGCCGACCUGAGAGGGUGAUCGGCCACAUUGGGACUGAGACACGGCCCAAACUCCUACGGGAGGCAGCAGUAGGGAAUCUUCGGCAAUGGACGAAAGUCUGACCGAGCAACGCCGCGUGAGUGAAGAAGGUUUUCGGAUCGUAAAACUCUGUUGGUAGAGAAGAACGUUGGUGAGAGUGGAAAGCUCAUCAAGUGACGGUAACUACCCAGAAAGGGACGGCUAACUACGUGCCAGCAGCCGCGGUAAUACGUAGGUCCCGAGCGUUGUCCGGAUUUAUUGGGCGUAAAGCGAGCGCAGGUGGUUUAUUAAGUCUGGUGUAAAAGGCAGUGGCUCAACCAUUGUAUGCAUUGGAAACUGGUAGACUUGAGUGCAGGAGAGGAGAGUGGAAUUCCAUGUGUAGCGGUGAAAUGCGUAGAUAUAUGGAGGAACACCGGUGGCGAAAGCGGCUCUCUGGCCUGUAACUGACACUGAGGCUCGAAAGCGUGGGGAGCAAACAGGAUUAGAUACCCUGGUAGUCCACGCCGUAAACGAUGAGUGCUAGAUGUAGGGAGCUAUAAGUUCUCUGUAUCGCAGCUAACGCAAUAAGCACUCCGCCUGGGGGAGUACGACCGCAAGGUUGAAACUCAAAGGAAUUGACGGGGGCCCGCACAAGCGGUGGAACAUGGUGGUUUAAUUCGAAGCAACGCGAAGAACCUUACCAGGUCUUGACAUACUCGUGCUAUUCCUAG
rnacentral:rRNA from 1 species